AUUGAACGCUGGCGGCAGGCUUAACACAUGCAAGUCGAGCGGGGUGAUGGUGCUUGCACUAUCACUUAGCGGCGGACGGGUGAGUAAUGCUUAGGAAUCUGCCUAUUAGUGGGGGACAACAUCCCGAAAGGGAUGCUAAUACCGCAUACGUCCUACGGGAGAAAGCAGGGGAUCACUUGUGACCUUGCGCUAAUAGAUGAGCCUAGGUCGGAUUAGCUAGUUGGUGGGGUAAAGGCCUACCAAGACGACGAUCUGUAGCGGGUCUGAGAGGAUGAUCCGCCACACUGGGACUGAGACACGGCCCAGACUCCUACGGGAGGAAGCAGUGGGGAAUAUUGGACAAUGGGGGGAACCCUGAUCCAGCCAUGCCGCGUGUGUGAAGAAGGCCUUAUGGUUGUAAAGCACUUUAAGCGAGGAGGAGGCUCUUUUGGUUAAUACCCAAGAUGAGUGGACGUUACUCGCAGAGUAAGCACCGGCUAACUCUGUGCCAGCAGCCGCCGUAA
rnacentral:rRNA from 1 species